AACACCACCUGCCAACAUUCAGCCUCCUCUGCCCAUCAGCCUUGCUGACACAGGGAGUGGAGAUUUGUGUAGAGAAAUGACUCAUUCAAAUAUGACUUAAUCUAAACCGUAAGUGUAUGAUUUAUUAAUGUGCCACCAGGCCUUACACCAAGAGAGCCAUUCCAGAGAAAAGUCCUUUUUCUCCUGAGAACAGUGCCAGCAGCUGGCUUCGUGACAUUCUGGAAGCCCCGUGCAAUGCUGUCAGGAGCAUAGGGAUUUUACUUUAUCUCCCUUGCUUAUGCUCCACAUAACUGAAAUAUCUCACUGGAAGCUGCAGCAGUGCUGGCCCCUUGCACAGCCAUAUGUGACCACUGCAGAACAAUCAGUUGGAGAGACAGUUUGGACUACAUGGAGGGUGGAGAUAAGGACAAAGUGAAGAAUACACAGGAACCAGUGCCUCCUCCUGGAACUAUGCAACUCCAAGCUGCUUCCAUCAGCUGCUAGGUCCAGUAGGGAGGGACCUACUGAGAGAAGGUGCCUGCUUCCCUUUCCGCUGUGAUUGUAAGUUUCCUGAGGCCUCCUCAGCCAUGUGGAACUGUGAGUCAAUGAAACCUGUUUCCUUUAUAAAUUACUCAGUCUCUGGUAUUCCUUUAUAGCAGUGUGAAAAUGGACUAAUAUACUUGCCCUUCAUCCCAACGAUGGAUUUAAGACUAGAGACAUUUCAAAUAGUAGGUUUUUUGCCAAAUGCCUUUCGCUGUAGAAAUUCUAUACAUGGCCUUUGUCUGUUACACUGGAAGUCCUGCCACUUCUUAGAUGGUGGAGAUUAAAACAGCGAUUUCUUGUGGUGGUGGCGGGGCUGGGGUUGGGAACAUUGAGGAUAAGGUGGGAGCUGCCCAUCUCAGACACUACUGAGAUAGUGGGAUGGGCCACAUAAAUGUCUAUGGAAGAGAUGCCUUUGCCAUACAAUUCCUUCAACAAAUACUCAUUGAUCACACACCAUAUCUGGGGGUGUAGCUGAGAACAAAACAAAGCUCCUGUUUUGAGGAGCUUUAGGCUGUAGAGAAAACAGAAAAUAAACAAGCAAGCAAAUGGAUGUUUUUAAGUGGCAAAAGUGCUAUAAAGGAAACAAGUAGUGGGAUGAGAUGAGGGGAGGAGAACUUCAGGUAAGGUGGCAUCAGAGCAGGAAGCUGAACUGAGGGUGAGUGAGCUGAGCUCAACAGAAAGGACUGUUGGACUGAGCCAGCCACAUGGAGAUCUGGAGAAGGGAAGAGGGCACUACCAUUUUGUUUUUGUUUUUUAUUGGAUUUAAGACGUCACUAUUGUACCUCUAAAAGAAAAAAAAAAACUGUAAUUAUAAUUGUAAAUUACAAAAUUGAUUGUAAAACACAUUUUGAUAACAAUGAAUUAAAAUAUGUUAAAUUACAUGCCUUAGCAUCAAUAUAUUAGUUCAAAAGCCCAGAAGUGUUAAACAAGCUUAGUGCUUAUCUAAGCAACUGAAAAGAAUCUGAUAUGUUUAUAGUUGGUGAAUGACAGAGAAAAAGAUAUGAGGUUUCAGGGGGGCAAAAGGAUAAAUCUUGAGGUCUUAGUUUAAUUAAAAACGGGUGAUGAUACCAUUUACUGAGAUAGGAGAGAUUUCAGGUUGCCAAGAUGUCAAUUUCAGACAUAUUUUAUAUAUGUUAAGUGACAAUUAAGAGAAGGAGGGUUAAAAGGAGACUUAAGAUUCAGUGAAAACUCAAGGUUUAUGAAGACUUUUGCUCCAUAUCCAUCAGGAAACCAGAAAUCCCUGAAAUUAAUAGCUGAAUAAAUAGAAUAAGGUCAACAUUAUUUUUAACACAUAUUUUUAUGUCAUAUGCAUACUAUGUCACCAUAAUCAGUAAACUGUUAAAGUGCCAGAAAAUGCUUCUACAUCAUUUUCAUUCUGACAGGAAGUAGAUAGAAAUGGCAUGUAUCUACGAAGCCAAGUUCUUUCAAAAUUUACAGCUUAAUUUCUCCAAUUGUUUAGAGUGAUAAAUUUUUCACUGAGGCCAUUGACCAGCACAAUAAUUGUGUCUACACAGCAUGUUUAUAUCAAAUACCAUUGCAUCUGUUAUGUCCUGUUCAUGCUGUGACCUUCCCAGAAGGCAGUUAGGGAUUGAAACUAGUACGCACAAUAGUGUAGAUCAGAAAACUGAUGUCAGGCUCUAGUGACAUGUGUAGGUACUGGCAGAACUGGAAUUAGAACCAGAUUUCUACAGUUGCACCCCUGGUUCUUUGCUCCAAAUGCUAAAGCCCUUGGUUAUUUGAUUUUCCUGUUGUCUUUAUCCUAUCCCCAGGCUCUAUUUGGGUUUCUGUAGUGAAAUUAAGGAUAACCUCAUCUGCAUGCUGUACUUUCUUAAAUAGAUUUUUCUAAUCUCCCAUACUCCCACAACCAUAAAUGACAAAAUACAAGCAUGCUUAGGAUCAUUGUGCCCCACAAUAAAAAAAGCUGUUGCUAUGUUUUGGAAACAGAUCAAUCUUGGUAUUUAAGUGUUGUUUGAACAAAGAUUAACUGAGCCUGUUCUCCUCCCCCAGGUACUCAGACCCAGAACAUACUGUUUUCACUCCAAGAGUCUGAAUGUCUCUUUUCUGAGAAAGAUGAAGAAAAACAUUGCCAGAAAACUCAUUUCUCAGUGACACCAUUGUAAUUACUCAUUUGAUUAUCCCGCAAUACACAUAUAAGAGUCUCAGGAAAACAGUACCAUCAGCAUUAUAUGAGCUAAUUAAAAAUGUGGUGUCCUGGACUCACGAAGCCAGAAUUGCUGAGGAGAUAGCCCGAGAAUCUGAAUUUUUAGCAGACAUUUUUUUAGGUACCUUACCCGCAGGAUCAUUUCUGUGAAUAUCCAUGAGGUGAAAAAGUCUGGGAAACACUGUCCUAGACAGGAAACGCCACGAAGUGUCUGGAUCAAAGAACAGACUAUUGCUCACAGAGCACCUUCAUAGCAUUGUUCCUCAUGCCCCCGUUGCCCAAGGGGAUGGCAGGUUGAGGACCAGAUGUACUUGCAUGUUCAGGGGAUGCAGCACAGAAGAGGAACUCCAAAAUUAUUAUUAUUAUUGUUAUUAUUAUUAUUUUUGAGAUGGAGUCUCGCUCUGUCGCCCAGCCUGGAGUGCAGUGGCGUGAUCUCGGCUCACUGCAAGCUCCGCCUCCCGGGUUCACGCCAUUCUCCUGCCUCAGCCUCCCGAGUAGCUGGGACUACAGGCACGCACCGCCACGCCCUGUUAAUUUUUUUUGUAUUUUUUUUUAGUAGAGACAGGGUUUCACCGUGUUAGCCAGGAUGGUCUUGAUCUCCUGACCUCGUGAUCCACCCGCCUCGGCCUCCCAAAGUGCUGGGAUUACAGGCGUGAGCCACCGCGCCCGGCCGAACUCCAAAAUUAUUAAACUCUGAGCGUCUGCAGGUGACUGACACAUCUGCGCUUCCUUUCUUCCAGGGUGUGGGGAAGAGCGAGAAAAAGAUUUCCGCUCUGGAAGGUAAACAAAUACUCUCUGGAGAGAGAAGAGGAAUGUCCCUAGCAGAUGUCUCCAGAGAAGACAAGACUUUAAAUUCCGCCAGGGAAAUAUACAAUGUCUAACUUCUAAGGCACAUUUGCCAUUCAAUCAUGCUUUAACCCACGUUGCCAGAAAUUUUUGCUCACUAGGUUUUGACUGUACAGGAAUGUGAAAAUAUUCAUGAAGAGUUGUUUUCCAAUGCUAAAGAAUUGAUGUGUUUUAACAGUUGAAUUAAUUGUAUUGAUUAUGAUCACACCUACUUUUUAUAUAUCUUCAUUUCUAACGUUUCUGUACAAUCCUGCCUUUCCACCUGAUAUAGUUAGGCCUUGUGUCAUCAACCAAAUCUCAUCUUGAAUUGUAAUCGCCAUAAUCCCCACGUAUUUAGGGAGAGACCUGGAGGGAGGUGUUUGGAUCAUGGGGGCGGUUUCCCGCAUGCUGUUCUCAUGACCAUGAGAGUAAGUUCUCAAGAGAUCUGAUGGUUUUAUAAGCGUCUGUCAUUUCCACUGCUUGCACUUCUGUGUCCUGCCACCUUGUGAAGAAGGACGUGGUUGCUUCCCCUUCCACCAUGAUUGUGUUUCCUGAGGCCUCCCCAGCCUUGCAGAGCUGUGAGUCAAUUAAACCUCUUUCCUUUAUAAAUUACUCAGUCUCUGUAUUCCUCUGCAGCAGUGUGAGAACAGACUAAUACAUCACCACUUUAUUUACUUUACUCUCUCCCCAUACCGAGGUUUUCUACAUUUUCUUUCUAGGUCUCUACAGUUUCUGCAAAGAUCCUUUAUGGAACUCUUAGGGAAGCUGGGAUGUAUAAUAAAUAAAGGGCUCUUUUCUUUGAGUCCCACACCCAUUUUCUGUGUAUAAAAAUCUUCAACUCCACUUUUGUCUGUUCUAUUUAAAUGUGUGCACAUUUCCUUCUAAUGUUGUAUAUGAAAAAGAGACACCUCUUAGCAGUCUUUCAUAGAGCAAAAUUUUUUACUUUGAUAAAAUCUAAUUUAUCAAUAUUUUUAAAUUUUAUGGAUCAAUCAUGCUUUUGAGGUUGAAUUUAAGAAUGCUUUGCCUAGCCCUAGAUCCCAAGUAUCUUUUAAAAAUUAUUUUUCUAAAUGCAUUAUUUAUGUUUUACACUUAAGUCUAUAAUCCAUUUUGAGUCCAUGUGUAAGAUUUAGGUUAAGGUCAAGAUUUAUCUGUUUUUGUUGUUUUCUCUAUAAAUGUCAAUUGCUCCAGCACUAUUUGUUUAAAAGCCAAUCUUUCCUCCGCUGAGUUCUUCCUAUAAGUUUGUCAAAAGUCAAUUUGGCAUCUUUGUAUAAGUUUAUUUCUGGAUUCUCUAUUCUGUUUUAUUGAUCACUGCAUCUAUCCCUCUUGAUUAGCUAGAUAAUAAAUCCUACAAUAAGGUAGAAUUCUUCCCACUUUAUUCAUAUUCAAAAUAUUUUAAAGCUAUUCUAGUUUCUUUUUAUUUCCAUAUAUAUUUUAGGAUAAUCUUAUCUAUAUUUACAACAUAUGUUGCUAGGAUUUUGAUAGAAUUUGUUUUAAAUUUGUGUAUCAAUGUAGGGAAGACCUGACAUCUUUACUAUUACGUUGAUCUUCCAAUCAAUGAAUAUGGUAUAUCUCUCAGUUUAUAGCUAUUGUCUUUAAUUUAUUUCAUCAUGGUUUUUAGUUUUCAGCAGAGAAGCUUUAUACAUGUUUUGUUAUACAUGUAUAACAAAAGAAGCCUUAUACACUGACAUUUUAUAUUUUGAACAAUUGUAAAUGGUAUUGUUUAAAAAUUUUGUUGUCUAUGAUAGAAAUAAAAUUGAUUUUUGUAGGUUUAUCUUGUAACCUAUGACUUGCUGAGCUCGCUCAUUAGUUUUUUUAUUGUGAUAAAAUAUACAUGAGAUAAAUUUCAUCAUUAUAAUCAUUAAGUUUAGACAUCAAUUGCAUUAAGUACAUAAAUGCCUUAUGCAACCAUCAUCUCUAUCCAUCUCCAGACCCUUUGCAUCACCCUAAAAUGAAACUCUGUGCCCAUUAAACAAUAACUCCCCAUUCUGCCCUCACCCCAGCCCUUGGUAAUUACCAUCCUACCUUUUAUCUCUAUAAAUUUAACCAUCCCAGGUAACUCAUAUAAGUGGAAUCAUGCAGUGUUUGUCCUUUUGUAACUGGUUUAUUUCACUUAGCAUGAUGUCUUCAAGGUUUGCCUAUGUCAUAGCAUGUGUCAGAAUUUCAUCCCUUUUUAAACUUAAAUAAUAUUCCACUGUAGGCAUAUGCCACAUUUUGUUUAUUUGUUCAUCUGUUGAUGGGCAUUUGGGUUGUUUCCACCUUUUGGCUACUGUGAAUAAUGCUGCUGUGAUCAUGGGUAUGCAACUGUCUCCUGGAGUCCCUGCUAUCAAUUCUUGUGGGUAUAUACCCAGAAGUGGAAUUGUUGCAACAUAUAGUAAUUCUAUGUUUAAUUUUUUGAGGACCUGCCAUAAUGUUUUCCACAGUAGCUACAUUGUCUUAUAUUCCCAUUAAGAGUUCCAAUUUCCUCACAUCUUCACCAAUACUUAUUGUUUUCUGUUUUUUUAAAUAAUAGCCAUCAUAAUAAAAGUAACAUGGUAUCUCAUUGUGGUUUUAACUGCAUUUCCCUUUUUACUGGAUUGUUUGUAAUAUUGCUGUAAUUGAGUUGUAGGAGUUUUUAAAUAUGUUCUGAAUAAUUAAUUUCUUAUCAGAUAUGUCAUUUGCAAAUAUUUUCUGCCAUUCUCUGGGUUGUCAUUUCACUCUCUUGAUAGUGUCCUUUGAUGCACAGAAGUUUUGAAAUUUGAUAAAGUUUAAUUUGCGUAUGUAUUUAUUUUGUUGCUUAUGCUUUUGGUGUCAUAUCCAAGAAAUUAUUGCCAAAUUCAGUGUCAUGAAGAUUUUCCCCUGUGUUUUCCUCUAAGAGUAUUAUAGUUUUAACUCUUGCACUUAGAUUGAUCCGCUUUGAGUUAAUUUUAGUAUAUGGGGUAAGACAAGGGCUCAAAUUUGUUCUUUUGUUUGAAGAUUCUAGGUCAUUUGUGAUCUUUAGGAUUUUCUAUGUAGACAUUAAUGUCAUCUUCAAAUAUGAACAGUUUAUUUCUUCCUUUUGUAUAUGUAUGAAUUUACUUUCCUUUUCUUGCCUUAUUGCACUGGCUAGAGUUUUCAGUACUAUGAUGAAUAAAAUCAGUGAGAGCAGACACCCUUGCUUUGUUUCUAAUCUUAGGAGGAAAGCUUUCAGUCUUUCAUCAUUAGGUAUACUGUUAGUUGUAGGCUUAUUAUAGAUGCUCUUUAUCAGGUUGAGGCAGUUUCCUCCUUGGUUAAGACUUUCUAUUUUUCAUUUUCAGUUAUGACCAGGCAUGUUCAUAACUGCUCAUCAAAACUUUGAAUUAGUGGCUGCUUUAACAUCCUUCUCAGACAAUUCUAACAUCUGUUUUGUUGGUGGUGGCAUCUAUCAAUUGUCUUUUUCAUUCUGUUUGAGAUCUUCCUUGCGUUUGGUAUGAUUUUUUUAAAUAUUAUGUCAUGAAACUGCAUCUUAUUUAAAUCUUCUGUUUUAGUUGGCUAUGUCUGACAUCACUUCCCCAGGGGAAGGUGUUGUUACUGCUAGUGGAGGGUGAGAAUUAUGGCUCUCCACUGACAUUGUGGUGGGAUUGGUCCCAUUACCACUGGGCAGGGUUGAAAGUCCUGACUUUCUGCUAGGCCUUCUCUGACUUCAUCGCAGCAGGAGGAAAAGAUGCCUCUGGAGUUGAAGUCAGGUUGCACUGACACUGUGUGUGUAUGGAGGUAGGCUGGGGUGAAAGUGGAGACUCAUUACCACAUGGUGAGUAGUUUCCAGCUCUCUAUUUGGCCUUCUCUGAUACCACCCAGACAGGGACAUUGGGGAUACCUCAUUACAGCCUAGUGAGGGUCAAACUCUAGGCUCCCCACUCAGUCUUUGCUAUCAUGGACACUGUAGGACCAUAGUUUUUUCUGUGCUGUUUGCUUGAUGUGUCUUCCUUGGACCCUGAGUUCCAUAGCUGGUCUGCAUUCCUCUCUCCACCUUUAAGACGUCUUCUUAUGUUUAUUUCAUAUUUAACAUCCAGGGUGGUAAUUAGAGGGAAGAAUAGAGGGAAAAGUACAGUUGCACUUUGUUGUUCAAAGAGCAGUUUUGAACUGCACAGACCCAUUUCUCUGAGCACACCCAGGGAUGAUUGUACUUGUAUAAAAUUUUUUUCCUGGAUGCAGAAUUCUCAAUUGACUGUGAAAGUUCAUAACAAAGAAAACAGUGGGGAAGACAAAUCUGGAAAUGAGGAAAAUAAAAAUUAAAUAGUGAGACCACCCAUGGAGCUUGUGGCAAAGCCUGAAUUGAAUCCGCUGUAUCUUAAGAUUGUGCCUCAUUCUAAAUUUAAGUCACCCUUCUCAUUAUGAAAGUGUCACAACUUCUCAGUAGGUGAGGAGACAGUCUAAAUUUGAGAAAAGAAAGUUACAACAAAGGUUUUGAGCAAGCUGCUAAGUGGAUUUAUUCAUGUUUGAGAAAUCAAAUAUAUGGUUAAUGAGCUCUUUAACUAGAAGCCAACACUAGGGAGGAGUAGACAGAAGUCACGGGGAGGGAGCCCCCGGACAUUUCAAAAGACUUUGCCCUGCAACAUCUCCUCCACAUUUAAGCUUUUAGGUUAUUGUAGCCACAUCACAAGCAUGUUACCUACCCAGAUAUUGUCUGCGCAUCAUUCCCAAAAGCUUCCCUGGGUCUUCAUAAUAUUAAUGAGAUUCUCCCCCAGGUUAGACCCCUUUGGCUUGAGUCAGAAACAGAAUUAAUCCGGGGGACAAUCCAGCAGCACCCAUCUCUGGGUUGCAGAAAUAUCUGAGGUGACCAGGCAGUGUUUGGAGUCCCCUCAGUUAGCUAACAAAGUGAGUUCACAGCUUCCAAGACCCCAGGCUUUCCAGGCUAAUAAAGAGCUGAGGUUAUAGGCUCUCCUUAUCAAACGCUCUUUGGCAGCUGCCAUAACCAUUCCAAGUCUAGUCCUAGAAUAGAAAUGACGCGGUUUCAGGAGCUGACAGAUGGAACUUUAAGCCUUCCUUCCUGCCACAUCUGAAGUUCUUUUUUAAAAAAAUAGAAAACCAUGACAAUAAACACUCCUUGAAUGCCCUGUGGAAAAGUGUACUCCUCAGAAUUCACUAAAGUGGGGUGAAGCAGUGGGUUGUGGUGCUGAGAAAACAUCUCUUCCCCUCGGCAGUAUAUUGGAAUCUCAUAGAAACUUCUGUGGCUGGGAAGCAAACAUGCUCUCUGCCCCAUUGCUCUUAUUCAUCUUUAGACCUGAUAAUACAGUUUGAACUUCAAGUUGCACUUUAAAUGGCAUGCAUUUUUA
rnacentral:lncRNA from 1 species